rnacentral:rRNA from 1 species
GACGAACGCUGGCGGCGUGCUUAACACAUGCAAGUCGAACGGAAAGGCUCCAGCUUGCCGGAGUACUCGAGUGGCGAACGGGUGAGUAACACGUGGGUAAUCUGCCCUGCACUCUGGGAUAAGCCUGGGAAACUGGGUCUAAUACUGGAUAUGACCUUUCUCCUUAUGGGGUUUGGUGGAAAGUUUUUCGGUGUAGGAUGAGCCCGCGGCCUAUCAGCUUGUUGGUGGGGUGAUGGCCUACCAAGGCGACGACGGGUAGCCGGCCUGAGAGGGUGAUCGGCCACAUUGGGACUGAGAUACGGCCCAGACUCCUACGGGAGGCAGCAGUGGGGAAUAUUGCACAAUGGGCGGAAGCCUGAUGCAGCGACGCCGCGUGAGGGAUGACGGCCUUCGGGUUGUAAACCUCUUUCAGCAGGGACGAAGCGUAAGUGACGGUACCUGCAGAAGAAGCACCGGCUAACUACGUG